rnacentral:tRNA from 1 species
AAGGCUUUAGUUUAAUUAAAGUGUCUGUUUUGCAUGCAGAAGAUGUGGGUUAGUGUCCUGCAAGUCUUA